UGGGGAAUCUUGGACAAUGGGGGCAACCCUGAUCCAGCCAUGCCGCGUGAGUGAUGAAGGCCUUAGGGUCGUAAAGCUCUUUCGCCUGUGAAGAUAAUGACGGUAGCAGGUAAAGAAACCCGGCCGUACAUCCGUGCCAGCAGCCGCGGUAAUACGGAGGGGGUUAGCGUUGUUCGGAAUUACUGGGCGUAAAGCGCACGUAGGCGGACCAGAAAGUUGGGGGUGAAAUCCCGGGGGCUCAACCCCGGAACUGCCUCCAAAACUAUUGGUCUAGAGUUCGAGAGAGGUGAGUGGAAUUCCAAGUGUAGAGGUGAAAUUCGUAGAUAUUUGGAGGAACACCAGUGGCGAAGGCGGCUCACUGGCUCGAUACUGACGCUGAGGUGCGAAAGGUGUGGGGAGCAAACAGGAUUAGAUACCCCUGGUAGUCCACACCGUAAAACGAUGAAUGCCAGUCGUCGGGUAGCAUGCUAUUCGGUGACACACCUAACGGAUUAAGCAUUCCGGCCUGGGGAGUACGGUCGCAAGAUUAAAACCUCAAAUUGAA
rnacentral:rRNA from 1 species